rnacentral:rRNA from 1 species
GUCUCAAAGAUUAAGCCAUGCAUGUCUAAGUAUAAGCAAUUUAUACGGUGAAACUGCGAAUGGCUCAUUAAAUCAGUUAUCGUUUAUUUGAUAGUACCUUACUACAUGGAUACCUGUGGUAAUUCUAGAGCUAAUACAUGCUGAAAACCCCGACUUCGGAAGGGGUGUAUUUAUUAGAUAAAAAACCAACGCCCUUCGGGGCUUCUUGGUGAUUCAUAAUAACUUAACGAAUCGCAUGGCCUUGCGCCGGCGAUGGUUCAUUCAAAUUUCUGCCCUAUCAACUUUCGAUGGUAGGAUAGUGGCCUACCAUGGUGGCAACGGGUAACGGGGAAUUAGGGUUCGAUUCCGGAGAGGGAGCCUGAGAAACGGCUACCACAUCCAAGGAAGGCAGCAGGCGCGCAAAUUACCCAAUCCCGAUACGGGGAGGUAGUGACAAUAAAUACUGAUACAGGGCUCUUUUGGGUCUUGUAAUUGGAAUGAGUACAAUCUAAACCCCUUAACGAGGAACAAUUGGAGGGCAAGUCUGGUGCCAGCAGCCGCGGUAAUUCCAGCUCCAAUAGCGUAUAUUAAAGUUGUUGCAGUUAAAAAGCUCGUAGUUGAACCUUGGGCCUGGCUGGCCGGUCCGCCUCACCGCGAGUACUGGUCCGGCUGGGCCUUUCCUUCUGGGGAACCCCAUGGCCUUCACUGGCCGUGGCGGGGAACCAGGACUUUUACUGUGAAAAAAUUAGAGUGUUCAAAGCAGGCCUUUGCUCGAAUACAUUAGCAUGGAAUAAUAGAAUAGGACGUGCGGUUCUAUUUUGUUGGUUUCUAGGACCGCCGUAAUGAUUAAUAGGGAUAGUCGGGGGCGUCAGUAUUCAGCUGUCAGAGGUGAAAUUCUUGGAUUUGCUGAAGACUAACUACUGCGAAAGCAUUCGCCAAGGAUGUUUUCAUUAAUCAGGAACGAAAGUUAGGGGAUCGAAGACGAUCAGAUACCGUCGUAGUCUUAACCAUAAACUAUGCCGACUAGGGAUCGGACGGUGUUUAUUGUAUGACCCGUUCGGCACCUUACGAGAAAUCAAGAGUUUUUGGGUUCUGGGGGGAGUAUGGUCGCAAGGCUGAAACUUAAAGAAAUUGACGGAAGG